AUGCCUCCAUUUCCUCCCAGUUCAGCAUGUGGUGCACAAGAAGAACCCCAGCAGCAGCAACCGGUGAUCAUACCCAGCAGCACUACCCUGCGCUGGAACCCCUCUCCUACAGACACUAGAUGUCGGGUUAAUGAGGACGCUGAGUGCAGGUUUCAGCAGCUGUCAGGUUCAGUACACAAGGUGGGGAUGGUAUUGGACUCGGUACAAACUGAUGUUAUUCAGUUAAACAGAACCAUGAAGGACGCAUCGGUUGAAUCUGGUGGUGUGCAGCAAAAGUUUGAUCUCCUAGAGGAUACACUUCAGAAAAUUAUUAAAGGACAAAAUGAUCUCAAAGUACUUGCUGAAAACAGCAUGAAAAGCAACUCUGAUCAGCUGAAUGUUCUCAACUCUCGCACCAGCAAAUUGAAUGAGAUGUCUUUGGUCGUUUCAGUCUGUCCAAAACAAGUGCAAGCAGAUUUAAGAGAGCUGCAUGGUGACAUCUUCAGGGUUCUUACAAAGGACAUGGAGGGGGUUGUUAGAGAUAUCAGGUCUCUGAAUACUAGGCCUGCUGCAAUGUCAAUGCUGCCAGACCAGAACUUCUCCCCCAAUGAGAGACUACCGAGAAACCCAAUGCUAGCAAAAGGAAGUCCCUUGAUGAAUGGAGUGUCUGUAGCAAAUAGAAGACCUACAAUGAACCAGACACCAGCAGCAAAUGAACGACCCCUGAUGAACCAAUCACCAGUCGCAAAUGGAAGGUCUACAAUGAACCAGACACCAGUAGCAAAUGGACGAUCCCUGAUGAACCAAACACCAGUGAAAAAUGGAAGCCCCAUGACGAUUCCAGUAGGAGAUGGAAGGUCCCAGCUGAAACAAACACCGGUAACAGAUGGAACGCCCCAGAGGGAUCUAACACCAGAGAUAAAUGGAAGGCCCCAGAAGGACCGAAUACCAGUAGCAAAUGGAAGGCCCCAUAUGGAACAAAUACCGGCAACAAAACCCCUUCCUGCACGUUCCACUUAUGCUACGAGGGCGUCAGUUCUGAAGCCAAAGGUAGAAGAGGGUAUGGUAAAAGCAGCUCACAUGGUUGGUACAAGCUACAGGCUAGCACCUGCACAGAAAGAGAAGUUGAAUCAAAAGGUCAAUCCCCAAGAGACAACUAAGAAGGAACCAGUUAAAAUAAUCAUCGAUGAUUCUGAACAUGGAACCAGCGGGGCGAAAGCCUUUCUCGGCAAAGAGAGGGAGACCCUGAUGAACGGAACGUCUGUAGCAAACGGAAGACCUACAGUGAACCAGACACCAGUAGCAAAUGGACUACCCCUGAUGAACCAAACACCAGCGGAAAAUGGAAGCCCCAUGAUCGCCAACCAGGCUCCAGUAGGAGAUGGAAGGUCCCAGCUGAAACAGACACCGGCAACAGAUGGAACGACCCAGAGGGAUCUAACACCAGAGAUAAGUGGAACUCCCCAGAAGGACCAAAUACCAGUAGCAAAUGGAAGGCCCCAUAUGGAACAAAUACCGGCAACAAAACCGCUGUCAGUUCUGAAGCCAAAGGUAGAACAGGGUAAGGUAAAAGCAGCUCACAUGGUUGGUACAAGCUACAGGCUAGCACCUUCACAGAAAGAGGAGUUGAAUCAAAAGGUCAAUCCCCAGGAGCCAACUAAGAAGGAACCAGUUAACAUAAUCAUCGGUUCAGAUAAUGACAAUAAAGGGUGCACUUCCGGGGGGAUUCUGAACAUGGAAGCAGCUGACCUGAGGAAGGAAGUCGGCAGCGAGUCGGGCCCGCAGCUUGUGUGGGGGGCGAGGAAGAUGAGGACGAGCAGCGAGACGCUGCCCAUUGAUGCCGCCACCUUGCUGCCAGGAGAAGGGGAGAAGAGGAGGCGGGGACCUGGACGAGACACACAGAAGGGCGAGGCUGUUCAUGCGGUUGAAGCCACUCCAGCAAAGCGGGCUCAUCGGUUCAACCCCAAGUACGACGCGACCCUGUGGAUCACCUGCUGA
rnacentral:rRNA from 1 species